CGACGACGUUGAUAGGUCGGGUGUGUAAGCGCAGCGAUGCGUUGAGCUAACCGAUACUAAUGAACCGUGAGGCUUAACCUU
rnacentral:rRNA from 3 species